GACGAACGCUGGCGGCGUGCCUAAUACAUGCAAGUAGAACGCUGAAGGAGGAGCUUGCUUCUCUGGAUGAGUUGCGAACGGGUGAGUAACGCGUAGGUAACCUGCCUGGUAGCGGGGGAUAACUAUUGGAAACGAUAGCUAAUACCGCAUAAGAGUAGAUGUUGCAUGACAUUUGCUUAAAAGGUGCAAUUGCAUCACUACCAGAUGGACCUGCGUUGUAUUAGCUAGUUGGCGGGGUAACGGCUCACCAAGGCGACGAUACAUAGCCGACCUGAGAGGGUGAUCGGCCACACUGGGACUGAGACACGGCCCAGACUCCUACGGGGGGCAGCAGUAGGGAAUCUUCGGCAAUGGACGGAAGUCUGACCGGGCAACGCCGCGUGAGUGAAGAAGGUUUUCGGAUCGUAAAGCUCUGUUGUAAGAGAAGAACGAGUGUGAGAGUGGAAAGUUCACACUGUGACG
rnacentral:rRNA from 1 species